GAUGAACGCUGGCGGCGUGCCUAAUACAUGCAAGUCGAGCGAACGGACGAGAAGCUUGCUUCUCUGAUGUUAGCGGCGGACGGGUGAGUAACACGUGGAUAACCUACCUAUAAGACUGGGAUAACUUCGGGAAACCGGAGCUAAUACCGGAUAAUAUUUUGAACCGCAUGGUUCAAAAGUGAAAGACGGUCUUGCUGUCACUUAUAGAUGGAUCCGCGCUGCAUUAGCUAGUUGGUAAGGUAACGGCUUACCAAGGCAACGAUGCAUAGCCGACCUGAGAGGGUGAUCGGCCACACUGGAACUGAGACACGGUCCAGACUCCUACGGGAGGCAGCAGUAGGGAAUCUUCCGCAAUGGGCGAAAGCCUGACGGAGCAACGCCGCGUGAAUGAUGAAGGUCUUCGGAUCGUAAAACUCUGUUAUUAGGGAAGAACAUAUGUGUAAGUAACUGUGCACAUCUUGACGGUACCUAACCAGAAAGCCACGGCUAACUACGUG
rnacentral:rRNA from 1 species